UGGGGAAUUUUGGUCAAUGGGGGAAACCCUGAUCCAGCCAUCCCGCGUGUGCGAUGAAGGCCUUCGGGUUGUAAAGCACUUUUGGCAGGAAAGAAACGUCAUGGGUUAAUACCCCGUGAAACUGACGGUACCUGCAGAAUAAGCACCGGCUAACUACGUGCCAGCAGCCGCGGUAAUACGUAGGGUGCAAGCGUUAAUCGGAAUUACUGGGCGUAAAGCGUGCGCAGGCGGUUCGGAAAGAAAGAUGUGAAAUCCCAGAGCUCAACUUUGGAACUGCAUUUUUAACUACCGGGCUAGAGUGUGUGAGAGGGAGGUGGAAUUCCGCGUGUAGCAGUGAAAUGCGUAGAUAUGCGGAGGAACACCGAUGGCGAAGGCAGCCUCCUGGGAUAACACUGACGCUCAUGCACGAAAGCGUGGGGAGCAAACAGG
rnacentral:rRNA from 1 species